rnacentral:rRNA from 1 species
AGCGAUCUUCUUCGGAAGAGAGCGGCGGACGGGUGAGUAACGCGUGGGUAACCUGCCUCAUGCACAUGGAUAACAUACCGAAAGGUAUGCUAAUACAAGAUGGUAUAAGAGAUUCGCAUGGAUUUCUUAUCAAAGCUCCGGCGGUACAGGAUGGACCCGCGUCUGAUUAGCUAGUUGGUGAGGUAACGGCUCACCAAGGCGACGAUCAGUAGCCGGCCUGAGAGGGCGACCGGCCACAUUGGGACUGAGACACGGCCCAAACUCC